UGUUCGAUCUGUUAGGGGAGGUCACUGGCAGGCAGGUGUAGAGUGGAAGGAAGGCUAUUUCAAGCAGACCGACAUUUGUAAUAUUUACUGUUUUUCCUCUUCUUCAGUUCUACAGCUGUAAACCACCUGCCCUCAGAGCUACUGACUUCAUACUUCUCCUUUUCUAAAGGAUCAGAGUCCAGGCUUUCCAGACUGUACUGAGGUGGCCUAAGUGACCAAUGCAAACACUGUGAUGGCUAUUCAACACGUGAAGCCCAACGCUGUGACAUCAUUUGGACACCAUGCACACUACUAACUUGAGGGUAAUCAGAGCUGCGGACUGAUGGAGUGGAAAGAGUGCUGGGCAGAGGGCCAGAGUCUCAGAGUUCAAGCUUGUUGCUGUAACAUUCGCCAGCUCUGCAUCCUCAGCAAAGAAAUUGCCCGAGUCUUGGAAUCUCUGGAUGACGGACAUGGCCAAUGCUCCUGGCUUCACAUGAAGACGAAAUCAGACCUUAAAUUUUCAUUCGGCAUUCUGUCUGCAGGUUCCUGAUUAUGGUAAUUGAUUUAUAUGGUCUUCUGAGCACUAACCAUUUUGCAUUUCAAUGAGACUAUGAUAAGAAAUAAUUUGAUAAAUAUGGUCUAUGUGGGAGUUUUGUCUAUCUUUGUGUUCAUAGUAAACGGAAGCAUCACUGAAUACCAAGAGACAGACAUUGAUAGGAAAUGUAGUUAUCAGUCCAUCUCUCAAGAAAAGAUUUUUGUGCUUGAAUUUUAAAUAAAAGAAUAUCUUUCAAAUACUUGAAAGAUAUUCUGCUUAACAGGAAUAGUAGCAAAUACAGUAAAAAGAAAUGUCAAUUAAUGGUGACAGUUCCCAUACACUCACAUUUUAAUUGACCCUUUCCACCACAUGCUAGGUUAUAGAUGCAAGACAGUAGCACACACUAAAUAAUGGCUUGCCACCAGGGUUGUUGUUUAUAUUUUAAAUUAAAAACUUGUUUUGUUUCAAUUUUUAUUUUUCUAAAGUAACAGGUGUGGGGUUAAAAAAAAUCAGGAGGGACAUGCAAU